CGGGGCGUAGCGCAGUUGGCUAGCGCACUUGAAUGGGGUUCAAGAGGUCCAGGGUUCAAAUCCCUGCGCUCCGA
rnacentral:tRNA from 1 species